rnacentral:rRNA from 1 species
CCUACGGGAGGCAGCAGUGAGGAAUAUUGGUCAAUGGGCGCGAGCCUGAACCAGCCAAGUAGCGUGAAGGAUGACUGCCCUACGGGUUGUAAACUUCUUUUAUAAAGGAAUAAAGUGAGGCACGUGUGCCUUUUUGUAUGUAUUUUAUGAAUAAGGAUCGGCUAACUCCGUGCCAGCAGCCGCGGUAAUACGGAGGAUCCGAGCGUUAUCCGGAUUUAUUGGGUUUAAAGGGAGCGUAGGUGGGUUGUUAAGUCAGUUGUGAAAGUUUGCGGCUCAACCGUAAAAUUGCAGUUGAUACUGGGAGCCUUGAGUGCAGUAGAGGAAGGCGGAAUUCGUGGUGUAGCGGUGAAAUGCGUAGAUAUAACGAAGAACUCCGAUGGCGAAGGCAGCUUACUAAACUGCCACUGACGUUGAGGCUCGAAAGUGUGGGUAGCAAACAGGAUUAGAUACCCCGGUAGUC